AAGAGUUGUUUAAAAACUCCAAACCCAUGUGAACAUACCUAUCUGUUGCCUCGGCGUGGUUUGUACACCCAUUUAAAGGUGUACUAUACGGCCCGCCGACGGCCCUUAAAACUCUGUUUAUUUAAUUAGUUAUCUGAGUGUUUUACUUUAAUAAGUCA
rnacentral:misc_RNA from 1 species